GAUGAAGAACGUAGCGAAAUGCGAUAAGUAAUGUGAAUUGCAGAAUUCAGUGAAUCAUCGAAUCUUUGAACGCACCUUGCACCCUUUGGCAUUCCGAAGGGUAUGCUCGUUUGAGUGUCAUUGUACUCUCACUCUCCCGAUGCUUUUGGAUCGGGAGUGUGGACUUGGGUGUUGCUGCUUUGCUGUGGCUCGCCUCAAAUGGAGUAGUGCAACUCUUGGUUGGACAUAGUACGGCGUGAUAAGUGUCUUCGCCGGCGCCUCAUUAUAGAGGGUGGCCGAUCGGGAGCUCUGUGCUUCAAACCGUCUUCGGACAACAUCUGACAACUUGGCCUCAAAUCGAGUAGGACUACCCGCUGAACGUAAGCAUAUCAAUAAGCGGAGGA
rnacentral:misc_RNA from 1 species